UGCCAGCCGCCGCGGUAAUACGUAGGGGGCAAGCGUUAUCCGGAUUUACUGGGCGUAAAGGGUGCGUAGGCGGUUAUGCAAGUUGAUGGUGAAAGGCUACGGCUCAACCGUAGUAAGCCGUCAAAACUGCAUGACUUGAGUACAGGAGAGGAGAGUGGAAUUCCUAGUGUAGCGGUGAAAUGCGUAGAUAUUAGGAGGAACACCAGUGGCGAAGGCGGCUCACUGGCUCGAUACUGACGCUGAGGUACGAAAGUGUGGGGAGCAAACAGGAUUAGAUA
rnacentral:rRNA from 1 species